UGGGGAAUAUUGCACAAUGGGCGCAAGCCUGAUGCAGCCAUGCCGCGUGUGUGAAGAAGGCCUUCGGGUUGUAAAGCACUUUCAGCGAGGAGGAAGGGUAGUGUGUUAAUAGCACAUUGCAUUGACGUUACUCGCAGAAGAAGCACCGGCUAACUCCGUGCCAGCAGCCGCGGUAAUACGGAGGGUGCAAGCGUUAAUCGGAAUUACUGGGCGUAAAGAGCACGCAGGCGGUUUGUUAAGUCAGAUGUGAAAUCCCCGCGCUUAACGUGGGAACUGCAUUUGAAACUGGCAAGCUAGAGUCUUGUAGAGGGGGGUAGAAUUCCAGGUGUAGCGGUGAAAUGCGUAGAGAUCUGGAGGAAUACCGGUGGCGAAGGCGGCCCCCUGGACAAAGACUGACGCUCAGUUGCGAAAGCGUGGGGAGCAAACA
rnacentral:rRNA from 1 species